GGAGUUAUGAAUUGUUAACAUGUUAAUACACAGUUCCUUUAUUCCAGCACUUUGGGAGGCCGAGGCAGGCAGAUCACCUGAGGUCUUUUUUUACUCAGAUUAGCUCAGUUUGAGUUCUGCGUCUGUCCAUAAAUUAACGAAAGCAGAGAUGGGAUGCACUUUAUGUCCAGGCUGUAUUCUGUUAUUGUGGGGAAGAGUUUAAGUCUUCAAGUCAUGUUUCUUGGGCUGACCUUAAGCAAGUUUCUUAGUU
rnacentral:lncRNA from 1 species